rnacentral:rRNA from 1 species
GAUGAACGCUGGCGGCGUGCCUAAUACAUGCAAGUCGAGCGAACGGACGAGAAGCUUGCUUCUCUGAUGUUAGCGGCGGACGGGUGAGUAACACGUGGAUAACCUACCUAUAAGACUGGGAUAACUUCGGGAAACCGGAGCUAAUACCGGAUGAUAUUUUGAACCGCAUGGUUCAAAAGUGAAAGACGGUCUUGCUGUCACUUAUAGAUGGAUCCGCGCUGCAUUAGCUAGUUGGUAAGGUAACGGCUUACCAAGGCAACGAUGCAUAGCCGACCUGAGAGGGUGAUCGGCCACACGGGAACUGAGACACGGUCCAGACUCCUAAGGGAGGCAGCAGUAGGGAAUCUUCCGCAAUGGGCGAAAGCCUGACGGAGCAACGCCGCGUGAGUGAUGAAGGUCUUCGGAUCGUAAAACUCUGUUAUUAGGGAAGAACAUAUGUGUAAGUAACUGUGCACAUCUUGACGGUACCUAAUCAGAAAGCCACGGCUAACUACGUG